AUAUAUCUACCAUGGGCUACUUGACUCAUCCAUAAAAAAGAAUGAAAUAAUGCCAUUUGUAGCAACAUGGAUGGACCUAGAGAUUAUCAUACCAAGGGAAUGGAGGUAGUGGGGAUUGAACCCAGGACCUUGUGCGUGCUAAGCACGCACUCUACCACUGAGCUGUACUCUCCCCCUUAAAUUGUUUUUUGAAUGUUCUUGAAGAUGAAGUAGUUCUGCAGAGUAUCAGCUUAACUGUCUAUGAAUGACAGAAGACCCAAAAAGACAAGGAGCACAGCUGAAGGCCUCCCAGUUUUGCAAAAUACACCCUAGGGGGAUGUUAAGAUGGAACAGAGCUCCGAUCAUCCAUACUUCGUUAUUCACAGCUGAUGUUAUCAAAUAUCAAGAAAAUGGUCUCUCACGGUCACAGUUCCCUAGCCCCCAAAAGGGGGAUUCCCAACCAAUGCCCCAUCAGAGAUGAAGCUGAAUGAAUGACCAAGGCUAGAAAGGGAAAAUCUCAACCAAAGAUGAGCUACAGGUGAAGCAAAUGCAAUAGAGGAUACCUGGAUGUCGUCACCCGUGAGCCCUUUUACUUGCCAAAGAUGUCUCAACUGAUCAAUGCAAGUACUAAAACACACAGAGAUAACAAAUAUGGUCCCACAAAUAAAAGGUCAGAUGAAGUGUAGCCUCAAAAUUCAUUUCCACUCCCAGACGGAGGAUUCCAGAGUGGCCUGGCUCCUAAAAGAGAAUGGACCCAGGGUGUCUUGUACUGAGCCCAGAGCAGCUCCCUUCCCACAAGGGAAUGACUCCAGAUAGAGUGCAGAGAGUUCCCAGCCUGUGCAAGCAGGAGCGACUCACCCCAGACUCACCCCAGGCGACACUGAAUGUGGACCAUAGCUCUGGAUGUUUUUCAGCUCCAAACAGCCUCAUGCUGUGGGGCAGCUAGCGCCUGUUAGGGAGAGUCCCUCCCAGUUCCUAAAGCAAAGAGGCCUCCAGCAGCUGCUGGGACCCAGGAUAGAGGCUGCUUUGGGCCAGGGUGGACCUGUUACUGGCACAAACUCCUAGGCUGGCCUUGCCAAAAUUCUUAUUGAUCACAAGUUCUUGUGCCCAAUGCACAGUGAGGCCAAAAAGAUACUAAAAAGUUGGAGUCUAGAACACAGAAAAGUUUAUUGCUGGGCUAAGCAAGGAGAAUGAGUGGCUAAUGCCCCCAAAACCCGAGCACCCUGGAAGGUUUCAGCUGGGAAUUUUUAAAGGCCAGCUGAGGUGUGGAGGGCGUCCCAGGGUAUGUAAUCAGCUGUGCACAAUUCUCUGGUUGAUGGUAAUCAAUCCUUAGGUGCCAGAAGGCCUGGGGGCUCUUUGCUAAUAAUCAUCAAGUAGUUAAUUUCUUCCAUUUGGUAGUGGGUUUUAGCAUCUGAAAAAAACCUCAGGAAAUAUGUAUGAGACACCAUUAUUGAGUAUUUCAGAGAGGAGCUACUGCAGAGGAUAUAGGGGAGAGGUCUGUCUUGGGAAGUCCCCAUAGGGUCCUGCUUGGUUAAGUGGUUAAGUACUUUAUCUAACCUGAAUUACUUGUUCCUACUGCAAAGAUAGGAGAAAGGUUUAGUCUUUUCCUGUGUUUACAGUAGUGUAAGGAGCUGGUGUAAAAGUGUCUUCAGUGGUGGCAAAUGAAUUUCCCUUUUUUUUGUAUACAUGGGUCCCCUUGUGGGAAAUUUCCCUGUGGUCCCCUUGACUUUAUCAAGUGCCUUACUGAGACUCAGACAUACUGAGACACUGGCCUUCCUCUGACCUCUCCUUUUAGAACUUUGACUAAAGAACUGCCACUGGGGCUGGCAGGACAUCCCAGGGAACCCAUGUUAGUUGCUCUCUACCAGGCUCCCACCUCCAAUGGCAAGGGCACCUUAAUGUCUUACCAAUCUUGCUGGAGGUUAAACAACACACGUCCCUUAAACUGGGUAACAGCAACAAUGCAAAGUUAGCUGGGCUGAAGACACCGAAACAAUAAGUUGAUUUUGCAUCUUCACUCUUCCUUUCAUCCUCACCCUCUCUUGAUGCACAUUGGGUCAUUCACUCUGGGUGAGAUAGGCUGGGACAUGGGGCCUGAGCCCUUUGCUCAGUGCUUGCAUAGGCUGCGAUGUGGGACUCUGGGCUGCAAUGCUUGCAUUGGGACAGAGCAAUAGAAAAGAAACUAUUAAGGCACUAAAAAUAACUGUGCAUGAGCAGUUGGCUGGGGCAAGUUAUGAACAAGAUACAAAAAGACCCAAGACCCAACUGCCACUUUGAGAUGCUGGGAGCAGAGGCAGGGUACUGGUGUGUGAUCCUUGCACACAGCACCACCAAGGGGGUGGGCAGACCACCUAAGCCACCGCUCCGGCCCUACCCCUGGAUCUGCCCCUACCCUCACCCCUCUUAAGGUACCAGCUCACCAGGGAGUGAGCAAGGGAAACUGUUACUUAUUUUCGCUCCCUUGUGCUGCAGCAGGAGUCCCAGCAAAGUCUUGCCUUAAUUUCUCAUCUGGCAUCUUAUCAAUUUUUAUUGAUUAAGGAGGCCAAGAACCCUGGUCAGUAACAUGGGUACCGCCUUUGUGGCUGUAUUUUGCCAAGUUACCCAGUGAUCUCCAUUUAUCUUUUUCCUUCUGUUUAUUUACUUGUUUAUCUCCCCCUAUUUCAUUUUAUUUUACUUUUUAUUUUCUAUCUAUUAUUAUAUACAAGAGUAUAUAACAAUUCUGUACAAUUUAAAGGAGACUAAAACAACAUACUCACCACUGAGCUUAAGACCUAGUACUUCUAAAUACGUGGCUUGCAGAUUUGAGGGCCACAGGAAACGUGAUUUCUGGCAUUAGUCCCACAGGAAUGUGAACUUUUGUUAGGAAUUUUCCAGAGACACUGUUAUUUAUUCUGCCCCACCCCCCACUGUUUUUUCCUCUCUCUAUUCACAGCAAAGAUGGAGGCCAGUUCACCCACUGAAGAUGUGGCUUUUUGAUACUUUAUUUACAAAGAAAGGU